UUUCCAAUAACAUAGGUUUUCACUUCUUUCAACAUACAUCAUGUGUCAUCAGGUAAUUUAUGUACUUUGUUAGUCUCCUCCUAGAAGUCACUAUUAAGUGGUUACAAAACCCUGAUAAUUUAACAAUAAUAAGUAACAAUAUAAUUUUCUUUUCAAGCAUGUCAUGCAUGUCAGUAAGAUCCAAAAAUCCUCUCUCAAUCUUUGAUGACUAAGGCCACGAUCAGUCCCAUGACA
rnacentral:lncRNA from 1 species